CUCUUUUUACAGGCCUGGCAACUAUUUCAAGAACGGAGGACCUUGGAGCUUGUUGAUUCUAGCCUUGAAAACUAUGAUGCUGAUGAAGCAGCAAUGUGUAUUCAGUUAGGAUUACUGUGCUGUCAAUCUACUGUUUCAGAUAGGCCCGAUAUGAACUCUAUUAAUCUCACGCUUUCAAGUGAUUCAUUUACUUUACCAAUACCUAUUGUGCUGUCAAUCUACUAUUUCAGAUAGGCCCGAUAUGAACUCUGUUAAUCUCACGCUUUCAAAUGAUUCAUUUACUUUACCAAGACCUGGUAAACCGGCAACACAAGGCCGUGUAAGC
rnacentral:lncRNA from 1 species